UUUCCAGAUAUGAGGCUCUUUAACUAAUACGUUUAGGCUUUCAAUUUUAGCACAUAUGGGCAUAUAAUUAGACAUACAUCAGUCAAAAUACUAGUAAAAAUAAUAAUAAUAAUAAAAUAUACAUGUCAUAGACAUCAUAUAUAUAUAUAUAUAUAUAUAUAUAUAUAUAUAUAUAUAUAUAUAUAUAUAUAUAUAUAUAUAUAUAUAUAUAUAUAUAUAAGAAAAACGAUAUAGACAAAAACAAGUAUACGUAUUCCCUGAUGAGUAAAAAUUUACGUAUAAGUGACAAAGUAACCAAUAAAGAAGUUCCCACAAACCCAGUUAUAGAAGUAAAUAAAAGUGUAAUGACACUCUGACUAACACAAACACUUGUCAUGAUUUUCUAUGUAAGAGUCUGAAAGCUCUCAUACAUAAUGCAAAAAAAAUCCUUGUCAAAGAAACAAUUCAAAACUUGAAAUAUCAGACAUUGACAACUUAAGUUCUAAAGUUAAGAAAAAAAGCAGUUGAAACUACAACAAGACUGAAGCAUAUUUCAUUCCACACAGUUAUAUCAUAAAAUAAAACAAAACCGCUUAAGCUACACUAAAUUCAACGCAAAAAAUACAAAGAUAGUGAAAUUUGGAGUUUAACAAUAAACCCUGAACCCUAAAACACAACACCGACACUUCAGCUCGAAAUAAAUCACGUGGUUCGAUUUAGAAAACAAAGCACGCAAAGGUUAAGAUACAGAAAAGCAACAUAUAGAGAAUCAGACUUACUCUGAAGCUUCUUGUCCAUGUACCUGCCGCAUCCCCAAACAAAAGACAAUUGCAGAUCAAUUCGCAGUGAGUGUAGCGAAAAUUGAGAAAAUUAAAACGAAGAAAGUAAAUGAAAUUGAAGAAGAGAAUGGGAGAAACACU
rnacentral:lncRNA from 1 species